CACGGCGCACGGGUGCGUAACACGUGGGCAAUCUGCCCUCCGGUGGGGAAUAACCCCGCGAAAGCGGGGCUAAUUCCGCAUAACAUUCCCUGGACUCUGGUUCGGGGAUUCAAAGCAGCAAUGCGCCGGAGGAGGAGCCCGCGCCCGAUUAGCUAGUUGGUGAGGUGACGGCUCACCAAGGCAAUGAUCGGUAGCUGGUCUGAGAGGAUGGCCAGCCACACUGGAACUGAGACACGGUCCAGACUCCUACGGGAGGCAGCAGUGGGGAAUCUUGCGCAAUGGACGAAAGCCUGACGCAGCGACGCCGCGUGGGGGAUGAAGCUUCUCGGAGUGUAAACCCCUUUCGACCGGGACGAAUGCCCGCAAGGGAGUGACGGUACCGGUAGAAGAAGCCCCGGCUAACUACGUGCCAGCAGCCGCGGUAAGACGUAGGGGGCCAGCGUUGUUCGGAAUUACUGGGUGUAAAGGGUUCGUAGGCGGUGUGGCAAGUCGGGAGUGAAAUUUCUGGGCUUAACUCAGAAGCUGCUUCCGAAACCGCUGUGCUAGAGUGCGGGAGAGGCGCGUGGAAUUGCAGGUGUAGCGGUGAAAUGCGUAGAUAUCUGCAGGAACACCCGUGGCGAAAGCGGCGCGCUGGACCGUUACUGACGCUGAGGAACGAAAGCUAGGGGAGCAAACAGGAUUAGAUACCCUGGUAGUCCUAGCCCUAAACGAUCAGGACUUGGGGUGCCUUCCGUUCGGAAGUCGUCCCGGAGCUAACGCGUUAAGUCCUGCACCUGGGGAGUACGGUCGCAAGACUGAAACUCAAAGGAAUUGACGGGGGCCCGCACAAGCGGUGGAACAUGUGGUCAUUCGA
rnacentral:rRNA from 1 species